rnacentral:misc_RNA from 1 species
AAGACUAUAGACCUGCGGAGUACCUGCGGAGGGAUCAUUACCGAGUUAGGGUAGUCACUCACUGCCCGACCUCCCAACCCUGUGUCUACCACACUUUGUCGUUGCUUCGGCGGACCGGUUGACCAACUAGUCGUGACCGCCGGGGGCUGGCUCUGUCCCCCCUGGAGAGCGUCCGUCGAUGGCCCAACCACAAAACUCUUGUACCGAAACGUGUCGUCUGAAUUAUAUUUGAGAAAUCAA